UCAUCGCGCGCUGGUUCUCGAAGUCGUUCGCCGCAUAAACCGCCAAACAUCGGAGUCGUCUUCCCAGCAGAUAAAUAGGAACCAAUAAUCCUCUCCAUCCAACAUUAUCUCUCAGCGCCUCGUCACCAUCUAAUCGAGAAGGAAAAAGAGCCGCCGCACCCUCAACUCGUCGCUGAUAUCGCUCGGGCUCUGGGUGGUGGUUGGGGAGCAUCGCUUGCUCAUGUAGCAGAUAGUAGUGGCGAAACCAGGUGUGGAGACCCUUGUAGCCAUCACAACUCCUUGCUUGGGGAAGCGUUCCCCAUGGAUCUGCUCAUUGGUGUGGACGAGUAUCGCUGCGCCCUGGGAUCUCCGGUGAGUAUGCCUCCAUCAAAUUUGUUGUGUCUUAGGCAUCGGGUAGAGGAUUUUGGUGUGAGGUUUUGGGCUCAACGCAGCUGGAUCAUUACACGCUGGCGUCGGGCGGCCAUGAAGAGAGAGAAACGGUGAUAGGAGGGCGCAAGGAGGAAGAUACUUAAGGGUCGUUGGAUCCGUGGCAUGCGAUGUGG
rnacentral:lncRNA from 7 species